UAUAGAGAUUUUACACUUUAUAUCAGUUAAAAUUAAAAUAUCGAUGUACGUAGCUGGUAAUUAAUGAAUGAUGUGCAUGUGUUUCUUUGUUUUUAAGCCUCCAUAGUUCAGGCUUCAAUAAACAUUUUAAGCAAUGUUUGCUAGUCAAAUUGUAGUUAAAACAGUAAAAAUGUAUAACUUAAAUAAUAUUUUAAUUUCAAACAAAUAUGAUUCUAUACUGUAUUGCCGAAUGUAUAUAUUAUGGUGCCAGUAUAGCAAGCGACACAAAAUUAGCCAAAUUAAUAUCAUA